AUACGUAGGGGGCGAGCGUUGUCCGGAAUUACUGGGCGUAAAGGGCGUGUAGGCGGCUGAGCAAGUCAGCUGUGAAAUACCCCGGCUCAACUGGGGUUCUGCAGUUGAAACUGUUUAGCUUGAGUGCAGGAGAGGAGGGUGGAAUUCCUGGUGUAGCGGUGAAAUGCGUAGAUAUCAGGAGGAACACCGGUGGCGAAGGCGACCUUCUGGCCUGUUACUGACGCUGAGGCGCGAAAGCUAGGGGAGCGAACAGGAUUAGAUACCCUGGUAGUCCUAGCCGUAAACGCUGGGUACUAGGUGUAGGCGGUUUAGAUACUGUCUGUGCCGCAGUUAACGCAUUAAGUACCCCGCCUGGGGAGUACGGUCGCAAGGUUGAA
rnacentral:rRNA from 1 species